rnacentral:rRNA from 1 species
GUGAGGAAUAUUGGUCAAUGGACGGAAGUCUGAACCAGCCAUGCCGCGUGGAGGAAGAAGGUCCUAUGGGUUGUAAACUCCUUUUGUUCCAGAGUAAUAACCCCCAUGCGUGGGGGGAUGAGAGUAUGGGACGAAUAAGCAUCGGCUAACUCCGUGCCAGCAGCCGCGGUAAUACGGAGGAUGCAAGCGUUAUCCGGAUUUAUUGGGUUUAAAGGGUGCGCAGGCGGAUAGUUAAGUCAGCGGUGAAAUCUCACGGCUCAACCGUGGAACUGCCGUUGAUACUGGCUGUCUGGAGUACGGACGGCGCCGGCGGAAUGUGUCAUGUAGCGGUGAAAUGCUUAGAUAUGCCACAGAACACCGAUCGCGAAGGCAGCUGGCGAGGCCGGUACUGACGCUCAGGCACGAAAGCGUGGGGAUCAAACAGGAUUAGAUACCCGAGUAGUCC